rnacentral:rRNA from 1 species
UGGGGAAUUUUGGACAAUGGGGGAAACCCUGAUCCAGCCAUCCCGCGUGUGCGAUGAAGGCCUUCGGGUUGUAAAGCACUUUUGGCAGGAAAGAAACGUCAUGGGUUAAUACCCCGUGAAACUGACGGUGCCUGCAGAAUAAGCACCGGCUAACUACGUGCCAGCAGCCGCGGUAAUACGUAGGGUGCAAGCGUUAAUCGGAAUUACUGGGCGUAAAGCGUGCGCAGGCGGUUCGGAAAGAAAGAUGUGAAAUCCCAGAGCUCAACUUUGGAACUGCAUUUUUAACUACCGGGCUAGAGUGUGUCAGAGGGAGGUGGAAUUCCGCGUGUAGCAGUGAAAUGCGUUGAUAUGCGGAGGAACACCGAUGGCGAAGGCAGCCUCCUGGGAUAACACUGACGCUCAUGCACGAAAGCGUGGGGAGCAAACAGG